rnacentral:rRNA from 1 species
AACGAACGCUGGCGGCAGGCUUAACACAUGCAAGUCGAACGCCCCGCAAGGGGAGUGGCAGACGGGUGAGUAACGCGUGGGAAUCUACCCAGAUCUUCGGAACAACUGAGGGAAACUUCAGCUAAUACCGGAUACGCCCUACGGGGGAAAGAUUUAUCGGUUCUGGAUGAGCCCGCGUUGGAUUAGCUAGUUGGUGAGGUAAAGGCUCACCAAGGCGACGAUCCACAGCUGGUCUGAGAGGAUGAUCAGCCACACUGGGACUGGGACACGGCCCAGACUCCUACGGGAGGCAGCAGUGGGGAAUAUUGGACAAUGGGCGAAAGCCUGAUCCAGCCAUGCCGCGUGAGUGAUGAAGGCCUUAGGGUUGUAAAGCUCUUUCAGUAGGGAAGAUAAUGACGGUACCUACAGAAGAAGCCCCGGCUAACUUCGUGCCAGCAGCCGCGGUAAGAC